rnacentral:rRNA from 1 species
AUUGAACGCUGGCGGCAUGCUUUACACAUGCAAGUCGAACGGUAACAGGCCUUCGGGUGCUGACGAGUGGCGAACGGGGGAGUAAUGCAUCGGAACGUACCCAGAGGUGGGGGAUAACGCAGCGAAAGCUGUGCUAAUACCGCAUGUGAUCUGAGGAUGAAAGCGGGGGACCGAGCAGCAACGUUUGGCCUCGCGCCUUUGGAGCGGCCGAUGUCGGAUUAGCUAGUUGGUGGGGUAAAGGCCUACCAAGGCGACGAUCCGUAGCUGGUCUGAGAGGACGAUCAGCCACACUGGAACUGAGACACGGCCCAGACUCCUACGGGAGGCAGCAGUGGGGAAUAUUGGACAAUGGGCGCAAGCCUGAUCCAGCAAUGCCGCGUGCGGGAAGAAGGCCUUCGGGUUGUAAACCGCUUUUGGUAGGAACGAAACGGUGUCCGCUAAUACCGGGCGCUAAUGACGGUACCUGCAGAAUAAGCACCGGCUAACUACGUG